rnacentral:rRNA from 1 species
GACAGCAGCAGCCACGGGAAUACGUAGGUGGCAAGCGUUGUCCGGAAUUAUUGGGCGUAAGGCGCGCGCAGGCGGAUUGGUCAGUCUGUCUUAAAAGUUCGGGGCUUAACCCCGUGAUGGGAUGGAAACUGCCAAUCUAGAGUAUCGGAGAGGAAAGUGGAAUUCCUAGUGUAGCGGUGAAAUGCGUAGAUAUUAGGAAGAACACCAGUGGCGAAGGCGACUUUCUGGACGAAAACUGACGCUGAGGCGCGAAAGCCAGGGGAGCGAACGGGAUUAGAUACCCGCGUAGUCCCUGUCUCUUAUACA